GACGAACGCUGGCGGCGUGCUUAACACAUGCAAGUCGAACGGAAAGGCCCUGCUUUUGUGGGGUGCUCGAGUGGCGAACGGGUGAGUAACACGUGAGUAACCUGCCCUUGACUUUGGGAUAACUUCAGGAAACUGGGGCUAAUACCGGAUAGGAGCUCCUGCUGCAUGGUGGGGGUUGGAAAGUUUCGGCGGUUGGGGAUGGACUCGCGGCUUAUCAGCUUGUUGGUGGGGUAGUGGCUUACCAAGGCUUUGACGGGUAGCCGGCCUGAGAGGGUGACCGGCCACAUUGGGACGGGGAUACGGCCCAGACUCCUACGGGAGGCAGCAGUGGGGAAUAUGGCACAAUGGGCGGAAGCCUGAUGCAGCAACGCCGCGUGCGGGAUGACGGCCUUCGGGUUGUAAACCGCUUUCGCCUGUGACGAAGCGUGAGUGACGGUAAUGGGUAAAGAAGCACCGGCGAACUACGU
rnacentral:rRNA from 1 species